rnacentral:rRNA from 1 species
UAAGACGAACCGUGCGAACGUUAUUCGGAAUCACUGGGCUUAAAGCGCGUGUAGGCGGAUGUGCACGUCUGUCGCUGAAAUCCCCCGGCUCAACCGGGGAACGGGCGCGGAUACGGCACGUCUGGAGGGGCGUAGGGGGACCUGGAACUUCCGGUGGAGCGGUGAAAUGCGUUGAGAUCGGAAGGAACGCCCGUGGCGAAAGCGAGGUCCUGGACGCCUACUGACGCUGAGACGCGAAAGCCAGGGGAGCGAACGGGAUUAGAUACCCCGGUAGUCCUGGCCGUAAACGAUGGGCACUGGGUAGGGGGCUCGCCGAUGGGCUCCCUGCCGUAGGGAAACCGUGAAGUGCCCCGCCUGGGGAGUAUGGUCGCAAGGCUG